AGCUCCAAUAGCGUAUAUUAAAGUUGUUGCAGUUAAAAAGCUCGUAGUUGGAUUUCUGGUGGGAUCGUCCGGUCCGCUCCGCAAGGGGUGUGCACUAGCGACGCGUCCGGCCACUUUUGCGCCAAACGUUUCUGUCAUUAAGUUGUCGGGGACGGGAGGCGCAUCGUUUACUGUGAAAAAAUUAGAGUGUUUAAAGCAGGCAAUCGCUGUGAAUACAUUAGCAUGGAAUAAUAAGAUAGGACUUUGGUGCUAUUUUGUUGGUUUGCACACCAAGGUAAUGAUUAACAGGGACAGUUGGGGGUAUUCGUAUUUAGAUGUCAGAGGUGAAAUUCUUGGAUUUUCGAAAGACGAACUUCUGCGAAAGCAUUUACCAAGGAUGUUUUCA
rnacentral:rRNA from 1 species